UAGGAGGGGUGCUAUCCUAAGAUCUGCCCAAGUGGCAGAGUCUACAUCAUAAUUUGUUGCUGUGGAGGCCAGCGCUCGCGCGGCCUCUUCAAAGUUGAGUUCAAUAUUUCUUCAACCGUUGGCAAUUGUUUUAACCAUUCUCUUCUUUUCUGUGCCUUUUUUUAGAAUCGCAUGCUAGAAUUUACUCAUAUAUAUUCUUGCCAUUAUUUCGAAACUGUAAUUUAUAGAUGUAAACUAAGUGCAGUUCGGUAAGCUUAGGAUGAAAUUAUUCUGAAACAUUACUGGCAUUUGUAGUUUACAAUGUACGAUU